AGUGAACGCUGGCGGUAGGCCUAACACAUGCAAGUCGAACGGCAGCACAGGAGAGCUUGCUCUCUGGGUGGCGAGUGGCGGACGGGUGAGGAAUACAUCGGAAUCUACUCUGUCGUGGGGGAUAACGUAGGGAAACUUACGCUAAUACCGCAUACGACCUACGGGUGAAAGCAGGGGACCUUCGGGCCUUGCGCGAUUGAAUGGGCCGAUGUCGGAUUAGCUAGUUGGCGGGGUAAAGGCCCACCAAGGCGACGAUCCGUAGCUGGUCUGAGAGGAUGAUCAGCCAACCUGGAGCUGGAACACGGUCCAGACGCUUACGGGAGGCAGCAGUGGGGAAUAUUGGACAAUGGGCGCAAGCCUGAUCCAGCCAUACCGCGUGGGUGAAGAAGGCCUUCGGGUUGUAAAGCCCUUUUGUUGGGAAAGAAAUCCAGCUGGCUAAUACCCGGUUGGGAUGACGGUACCCAAAGAAUAAGCACCGGCUAACUUCGUGCCAGCCGCCGCGGUAA
rnacentral:rRNA from 1 species